AGUGAAGUUCUUCUAUUUUCAGGGCUUUUAGGUCUUCUAGUAUUUCUGCUUCUGUGUAGCUGUUUCCUAGCCCUUUUAGUAGGUACGUGUGGGGUUUUUGAGAUUUUGGAGUAUAUGUGAAAUGGGCCGUGUUGGCUGCGGUCAGUAUUUUUUUUGCAUUAGCGUAAUCAUUUAGGUUUUGAAGAUAAAGCACGUGCUUACCUGCAUGGAUUCUUUUGAUAUGGAAAUUCUUGAUUUUGAGGGAGUUUUCCAUGAGUGCUAUUGUGUCUUUCGGGUCUUGUAAUGUUAUGUUGAUGGGGGGGCGGCCUGGCCCCUUUUGCCGAUGUGGGGGGGGUCUGCCUGGUCUUCAGCGGGGUGGCUGGGUGGCAGGCCCUUAUGCGUUUGGUUUUUCAGUAAUGUUGAAGGUUGUGGUGUUUUUUUUCGGCGGAGCGGGGAGGGGGGUGCUUGUCCGGGCGGUAUAGCUUUUGCUCGUGGUUAUUGGUGACGUGUCCAGGGGAGUGGGCUGUCUGGUUGCCUUUUUCCUUAAUACGUCGUUUUUUUUAAUGUUUUCGAUAAUAGUUUGCUGCGGAUGCGAUGCGCAGGGGUCUUGAGCUUGGAGGGCUUCGAAUCUGUUUUUUAUUGGGAUUUCCAUUGGUUGAGGGCUUCUUUUUUGUUUCAUAUUUUCGUUUUUUUCGUCGCGCUCUUCUUGUGAAUCGCUUUCUUCUUCUUUUAAAUUUUCUUGUCUGAUGUUUUUUUGUUCC
rnacentral:misc_RNA from 1 species